GGCUCGACCGGGAGAGCAUGGGAGUCGGAGAGAAAGCCGGCGGUCCUGUAGAUGAUGCUAAUGCUCAGCUCAGUUAGAGGGUAUGAAACUAUUUUCUGUUUAAUUUUGCAGUCUCUGUGAAUUUUGGGGUACCUAGCUUAUAUAUUUAGCUUUGUAAGCCUCAGCUGCAACAAUCUCUGGUUUUUGGAUACUGUGGAUGAAGGGAAAG
rnacentral:misc_RNA from 1 species